rnacentral:rRNA from 1 species
CAAAAGCGUCAAAGCUUAAUAGUUAAAUUAUUUAAUCCCCCCCUCUCUACAAACCCUUAAUCACUAUCGAAUACUUCUAUACUGCUAUAGAACAUAUUAUGUUAAGACAAGUAGCACUGAAGCACCUUCUCUUCCAAUGUUCGUGUAAAUAAAUUAACCCAGAACUAAAUAUAGUAACAUCCUACGAAAACUCUAUUUCUAACACUGUCAAUCUCACACCAGCCCAUUUCAAGAAAGAUCACAAGAAAGAGAAGGAACUCGGCAAAUUUCAGCUCCGCCUGUUUACCAAAAACAUCGCCUCUUGCAAUUUAUAAGAGGUCCUGUCUGCCCGGUGAUAUCAUUAAACGGCCGCGGUACCCUAACCGUGCAAAGGUAGCGUAAUCACUAGUUUUUUAAUUAAAGACCUGUAUGAACGACCCCACGAGAGUCGAACUGUCUCCUCUUUCCCAUCAGCGAAACUAAUCUCCUCGUUCAAAAGCGAGAAUUAUACUAUAAGACGAUAAGACCCUGUGGAGCUUUAAACACCUAGCAUUUGUCUAUUACUCAUCUCUUUAGACAAAAUACUACUAGUUUUUGGUUGGGGCGGCCUCGGAGGAAAAUAAAUCCUCCAAGAUGAAUUGGAUUUUUCUUCAACUUUAAGCUACACCUUUAAGUACCAGUAUACUGACAUCAAUUGACCCUUAUUGAUCAACGAACCAAGUUACCCCAGGGAUAACAGCGCUAUCUUCUUCGAGAGUACAUAUCGACAAGCGGGUUUACGACCUCGAUGUUGGAUCAGGAUAUCCUAGUGGCGUAAAGACUACUUAAGGUUCGUUUGUUCAACGAUUAAAAUCCCAC